UACAGAGGUCUCAAGCGUUGUUCGGAUUCAUUGGGCGUAAAGGGUGCGUAGGUGGCGUCGUAAGUCAGGUGUGAAAUUUCGGAGCUUAACUCCGAAACUGCAUUUGAUACUGCGGUGCUUGAGGACUGGAGAGGAGACUGGAAUUUACGGUGUAGCAGUGAAAUGCGUAGAGAUCGUAAGGAAGACCAGUGGCGAAGGCGGGUCUCUGGACAGUUCCUGACACUGAGGCACGAAGGCCCAGGGGGAGCAAAACGGGG
rnacentral:rRNA from 1 species